UACAGAGGGUGCGAGCGUUAAUCGGAAUUACUGGGCGUAAAGCGUGCGUAGACGGUUUCGUAAGUCUGCUGUGAAAGCCCCGGGCUCAACCUGGGAAUGGCAGUGGAAACUGGCUCGCUGGAGUAUGGCAGAGGGGGGUGGAAUUCCGCGUGUAGCAGUGAAAUGCGUAGAGAUGCGGAGGAACACCGAUGGCGAAGGCAGCCCCCUGGGCCAAUACUGACGCUCAGGCACGAAAGCGUGGGGAGCAAAUAGG
rnacentral:rRNA from 1 species